rnacentral:lncRNA from 1 species
UCCCCAAAUUUUCAUAGGAGCGUUCUGGGACUGACUUGACUCAAGAAGUUUGGUUUUCCUAUUAUGUAGUUUUCAUAGCUCAUUACUAUUUCUUAGCUUAUUAAUAUAAGAAUGACAUCCCCGUGGAUAGGAAUGAAAGAAUAGCAGUGAUGUUUUCCAGAAAAGUUACAUUUGAGUUGACACACAACUGGAGCUCUGAAGCAACUCAGAUUCUCAAGCAUUUGGUCCCAUUGGGAAUACUGUUCCUGAGACCUACAGUGCCUAUAAGAUAUAUGAAGAACUGGGAUUCACAUUUAUGAAGAAACCUGAGGAUGGUAAAAGGAAAGGUCUGUCAUUUGUUCAAGAUCCUUUUAGCUACUAGGUUGAGAUUCUUAAUCAUAACAAAAUAGGAACGAUUACUUAG